rnacentral:lncRNA from 1 species
AAAAAUAUAUUAUUGAUAUUAUUUGGCCAAUAGGCCUACACGUGAAAAUUAAUAUUAAAGAAAAUAUAAAAUCGUUGGGAGAAAAUUUCUCCCGAAACAAGACUCUUAAACGACUACAUUGUGGAUGCUAUUGUGUUAUGAUAUAAGAAAGGUGUCUCUAUUUAUAGAAUUCCAAAAUCUUUCCUCCAAGAAAGAUGUUUGCCAAAUAUGAAAAAGUUUUAUACUUUCCUUUCAGGAAAAGUAAAAAUCUUUCCUCUAAGAAAGAUGUUUGUCAAAUAUAAAAAAGUUUUAUACUUUCCUUUCAGUUUUUACUUUUAUUUUUCUUCUAAGCAAAAUAAAACUUAAAUUUGGUAAGAAAAUCAGGGCAAAAACCCUAACAAAUCUCUCUUUUUUGGCUUGAUUGUCUUCACUUGAUCCGUCUUUUUCACAUCACAUGCAUGAACUUCGUUCUUGAUAUAAUCAUCAUAACUGCUUCUUCCCAGGGUUAAAAAUAAAGUUUAAAAUAUCAUGAUUAAAAAUAGGUUAAGCAAUUAAUAUUUUAUUUUUAUUUUUAAAGAUACAGCAACAAGAAUAUUGAAAAUAUGAUUGAAACUUGUUCUCCACGUAUAGUUGAACAAAAAAUCUUCAUUAUAUUGCAAAUUUAUUAGAACCGCCUUGGACUUGGCUUCAACCUCGUUUUACCAAAUCACUAGAUCUUUGAACUGUAGGCUCCGCUACCACUUGUUGGGAUUGAAAUCGAGAGGGCAUAAUGCGGAAGCUUAAAGUUUGCAAACUAAGACGGUGAUAAUUCAUAUGACAAAUAAAAAUAUACUAAUAAAACAUAUUAUUGAUAUUAUUUGGCCAAUUGGCCUACACAUGAAAACUAAUAUUAAAGAAAAUAUAAAACCGUUGGGAGAAAAUCUCUCUCGAAACAAGACUCUUAAGCGACUACAUUGUGGAUGUUAUUGUGUUAUGGUUUGAGACAAGACUCUUAAGCGACUACAUUGUGGAUGCUAUUGUGUUAUGGUAUGAGGAGAAGGUAUUCUAUUUAUAGAGUUUCAAAAUCUUUCCUCCAAGAAAGAGGGUUGUCAAAUAUGAAAAAGUUUUAUACUUUCCUUUCAGGAAAAGUAAAAGUAAUUAUGGCAUUACUUUUAUUUUCCUUCUAAGAAAAAUAAAACUUAAAUUUGAUAGUAAAAUAAGACAAAAACCCUAACAAAAU